rnacentral:rRNA from 1 species
UACGUAGGGGGCAAGCGUUGUCCGGAAUCAUUGGGCGUAAAGCGCGUGUAGGCGGCCAGAUAAGUCCGCUGUGAAAACUCGAGGCUCAACUUCGAGCUGUCGGCGGAAACUAUCUGGCUAGAGUACGGAAGAGGAGAGUGGAAUUCCUGGUGUAGCGGUGAAAUGCGCAGAUAUCAGGAAGAACACCCGUGGCGAAGGCGGCUCUCUGGGACGGUACUGACGCUGAGACGCGAAAGCGUGGGGAGCGAACAGG